GUAGGAAGUCGUUUCUUGAGUAAGGCUUCUCGAGGGUAAGAGACUGCUGUUCAAGCUGAAGUCGCCUGAUUCACGUUCUGAACAGAUACAAGUGGAGUGGAAAGAUAGACUACUCAUUGACUAGCGAUGGAAGUUUUAUCAGGUGAAGAUUUUGCGGUAGGGGAACUCAUUCGAGCGUUCCUGAACUGUGAAACUGUGUAUCUUGUCAAACUAGAGUCAGUAAAAAUUCGUCUAGCCUAUUCAACCAUUCAUGGAAGGCGAGUAAUAGUCUUGGCUGCUGGUUCAAUUCAACUCCACACUGUAUCAAGCACAUUUCUCAACACAAAACAUGUAAAACUUGAUUCUAGCAUUUGGCAGUGCAUGUGUUGAGCGAUUCCUUGCAACU